rnacentral:tRNA from 1 species
GAGGGUAUAGCUCAAGUGGUAGAGUGCAUGCUUGGUGUGCACGCGGUCUUGGAUUCAAGUCCAGUACCUUCA